UCGCACUAGUCGGGGAGAUAGCGGUGCCCUGUAGCCUGCAAUCCGCUAUAGCAGGGAUGAAUCCCCACACCCGGGCAUGUACAGUGCCGUCCGGAACGCGUAAGCGGUGUUGAAGGAUCGGUCUUGCGCAACGGGAUCCCGUGAACCAUGUCAGGUGGGGAACCAAGCAGCAUUAAGCGGAUCUUCCCGUGUGCCGCGGGGCAGCCGUUCCCGAGCUGGCUGCGCGGAUGCCGGGCAUUGUGCCUGCUCAAAUGUGGGUGUGCGA
rnacentral:SRP_RNA from 1 species